rnacentral:rRNA from 1 species
GACGAACGCUGGCGGCGUGCUUAACACAUGCAAGUCGAACGGAAAGGCCCUGCUUGCAGGGUACUCGAGUGGCGAACGGGUGAGUAACACGUGGGUGAUCUGCCCUGCACUUCGGGAUAAGCUGGGGAAACUGGGUCUAAUACCGGAUAGGAGCCAUCUUUAGUGUGGUGGUUGGAAAGUUUUUUCGGUGUAGGAUGAGCUCGCGGCCUAUCAGCUUGUUGGUGGGGUAAUGGCCUACCAAGGCGGCGACGGGUAGCCGGCCUGAGAGGGUGUACGGCCACAUUGGGACUGAGAUACGGCCCAGACUCCUACGGGAGGCAGCAGUGGGGAAUAUUGCACAAUGGGCGCAAGCCUGAUGCAGCGACGCCGCGUGGGGGAUGAAGGCCUUCGGGUUGUAAACUCCUUUCGCUAGGGACGAAGCUUUUUGUGACGGUACCUAGAUAAGAAGCACCGGCUAACUACGUG